GCUAUUGAGGGCCUUACUCAUGUUAUGGGCCAACAAGUUCACAUACAAUAGAACAAUGAUCGCCCUUCUAUAGAUGAUCAAACUCGCCACAAUAGGGCUAUAGCCAGUAAUAUCUUUGAGUCCUGUAAGCUAAACACUCCUAAAUUUGAGGGUGAUCCUGAUCCAAUGAUCACCAAGCAUUGGGUUAUACAGAUUGAGAAGAUAUUCUCUAUUCUUAAGGUGAUUAAGGAGCAGAAGGUUCCUCUAGCUGCUUUUCUCC
rnacentral:lncRNA from 1 species